GUAAAAAUAGACACUUAACAGGAAGAGAAAUGUAUGUUUUGGCUGAAGGCAAGCAGACCUGCUUUCAGGUGUGCCACAACUGAGCCUCCGUAUCGUGUCUGCCUGACUGCAUUCUGCAGCUGCUCUUGGUUCCUAAGAGGAAAGAGUGUAACAAAUGAGAGUGAAGUGGACUUCAGCUUGUUGUCACAGCUUCAUAGUCGUGGGCUUUGGGGACGUUUGGCAAAGACACGAGCUGGUGGAAAAAGAAAUGUAACUCCGAAUGACAGUUCCAGGGGUUUUUUGUGAAGCAAUGGUGUGGAC
rnacentral:lncRNA from 1 species